AGUGAACGCUGGCGGUAGGCCUAACACAUGCAAGUCGAACGGCAGCACAGUAAGAGCUUGCUCUUACGGGUGGCGAGUGGCGGACGGGUGAGGAAUACAUCGGAAUCUACUUUUUCGUGGGGGAUAACGUAGGGAAACUUACGCUAAUACCGCAUACGACCUACGGUUGAAAGCAGGGGAUCUUCUGACCUUGCGCGAUUGAAUGAGCCGAUGUCGGAUUAGCUAGUUGGCGGGGUAAAGGCCCACCAAGGCGACGAUCCGUAGCUGGUCUGAGAGGAUGAUAGGCCCCACUGGAACUGAGACACGGUCCAGACUCCUACGGGAGGCAGCAGUGGGGAAUAUUGGACAAUGGGCGCAAGCCUGAUCCAGCCAUACCGCGUGGGUGAAAAAGGCCUUCGGGUUGUAAAGACCUUUUGUUGGGAAAGAAAAGCAGCAGGUUAAUACCCAGCUGUUCUGACGGUAACCAAAGAAUAAGCACCGGCUAACUUCGUG
rnacentral:rRNA from 1 species